GACGAAGGAUGCAAGCGUUAUCCGGAUUCAUUGGGUUUAAAGGGAGCGUAGGCGGAUUUGUAAGUCAGUGGUGAAAUCUCCGGGCUCAACCCGGAAACUGCCAUUGAUACUGCAGGUCUAGAGUACAGUUGCCGUUGGCGGAAUAUGACAUGUAGUGGUGAAAUACUUAGAUAUGUCAUAGAACACCGAUUGCGAAGGCAGCUAACGAAACUGUAACUGACGCUGAGGCUCGAAAGUGCGGGGAUCAAACAGG
rnacentral:rRNA from 1 species